GACGUAGGGGGCCAGCGUUGUUCGGAAUUACUGGGUGUAAAGGGUUCGUAGGCGGUGUGGCAAGUCGGGAGUGAAAUUUCUGGGCUUAACUCAGAAGCUGCUUCCGAAACUGCUGUGCUAGAGUGCGGGAGAGGCGCGUGGAAUUGCAGGUGUAGCGGUGAAAUGCGUAGAUAUCUGCAGGAACACCCGUGGCGAAAGCGGCGCGCUGGACCGUUACUGACGCUGAGGAACGAAAGCUAGGGGAGCAAACAGG
rnacentral:rRNA from 1 species